GUCUGUGUGGUAUAAUGAUCUGAGUGUUAGAUUAGGACUCUAUAGGACCAAGGUUCAAAUCCUUGCUCAGCCA